rnacentral:rRNA from 1 species
AUUGAACGCUGGCGGCAGGCUUAACACAUGCAAGUCGAACGAGUGGCGGACGGGUGAGUAAUGCAUGGGAAUCUAGCUUAUGGAGGGGGAUAACUACGGGAAACUGUAGCUAAUACCGCGUACCAAAGGAUGAGCCCAAGGUGGGUUAGGGAGUGGGUGUGGUAAAGGCUCACCAAGCCGACGAUCUCUAGCUGGUCUGAGAGGAUGAACAGCCACACUGGGACGUGGACACGGCCCAGACUCCUACGGUAGGCAGCAUUGGGGAAUAUUGCACAAUGGGCGCAAGCCUGAUGUAGCCAUGCCGCGUGUAUGAAGAAAGCCUUCGGGUUGUAAAGUACUUUCAGUCGAGAGGCGUUGCCGACAGAAGAAGCACCGGCUAACUCCGUGCCAGCAGCCGCGGUAAUAC